rnacentral:rRNA from 1 species
AUUGAACGCUGGCGGCAGGCCUAACACAUGCAAGUCGAGCGGAUGAAGGGAGCUUGCUCCUGGAUUCAGCGGCGGACGGGUGAGUAAUGCCUAGGAAUCUGCCUGGUAGUGGGGGAUAACGUCCGGAAACGGGCGCUAAUACCGCAUACGUCCUGAGGGAGAAAGUGGGGGAUCUUCGGACCUCACGCUAUCAGAUGAGCCUAGGUCGGGUUAGCUAGUUGGUGGGGUAACGGCCUACCAAGGCGACGAUCCGUAACUGGGCUGAGGGGAUGAUCAGUCCCAGAGAAGCUGAGCGCCGACCCGGGUCCUUAGGGACGGCACAGGGGGGUACGAUUGGCAAAUGGGGGAAAGCUUGAACCAGCGGUGCAAGCCGGGUGAAGAAGGGCUGCGGGUGGGAAGACAGUUUACGGGGGAGGAAGGGCAGUAAGUUAAUACCUUGCUGUUUUGACGUUACCAACAGAAUAAGCACCGGCUAACUUCGUG